GCAGUUCUCAAAGUAUAUGCCCUCUUACACUUAUAUACUUUUUUUCUUUAUUCUUCUGAUUUUUCUCUCCUUCCUAAUUCUGUCCCCCUGAUUUAAAAUGCAAUUAUACGGUGACAGAAUUAGGAAGGAGAGAAAAAUCAGAAGAAUAAAGAAAAUAAGUAUAUAAGUGUAAGAGGGCAUAUACUUUGAGAACUGC